rnacentral:rRNA from 1 species
GAUGAACGCUAGCGGCAGGCCUAACACAUGCAAGUCGAGGGGCAUCAUGGCGUAGCAAUACGCUGAUGGCGACCGGCGCACGGGUGCGUAACGCGUAUGGAACCUACCCACCGCAGGGGGAUAACCCGCCGAAAGGCGGACUAAUACCCCAUGGUUCCCCGACCCUGCCUGGGGUUGGGGUAAAGCCUACGGGCGGCGGUGGAUGGCCCUGCGUGCCAUUAGCUGGCUGGUGGGGUAACGGCCCACCAGGGCGACGAUGGCUAGGGGGUCUGAGAGGACGAUCCCCCACACUGGUACUGAGACACGGACCAGACUCCUACGGGAGGCAGCAGUGAGGAAUAUUGGUCAAUGGGCGGAAGCCUGAACCAGCCAUGCCGCGUGCAGGAUGAAGGCCUUCGGGUUGUAAACUGCUUUUGUACGGAACGAAACGGUGAGCUCUAAUAAAGCUUGCUAAUGACGGUACCGUAAGAAUAAGCACCGGCUAACUACGUG